rnacentral:rRNA from 1 species
UGAGUUGUGGUUAGGGGUGAAAUACCAAUCGAAUUCGGAGCUAGCUGGUUCUCCCCGAAAUGUGUUUAGGCGCAGCGGUUAAUAUUAUAGCUUAGAGGUAAAGCACUGUUUCGGUGCGGGCCGCGAGAGCGGUACCAAAUCGAGGCAAACUCUGAAUACUAAGUGAACAGUUAACCAGUAAGACUGUGGGGGAUAAGCUUCAUAGUCAAGAGGGAAACAGCCCAGAUCACCAGUUAAGGCCCCUAAAUAAUUAUUAAGUGGUAAAGGAGGUGGGAAGACUCAGACAGCCAGGAGGUUUGCUUAGAAGCAGCAAUCCUUUAAAGAGUGCGUAAUAGCUCACUGGUCUAGUAAUCCUGCGCCGAAAAUGAACGGGACUUAAAUAAUUUGCCGAAGCUGUGAGAUAUUUAUUACAAGUAAAUAUCGGUAGGGGAGCGUUCUGUUGUAGGUUGAAGCAUUAACGUAAGUGGGUGUGGACGAAGCAGAAGUGAGAAUGUCGGCUUGAGUAGCGAAAACAUUGGUGAGAAUCCAAUGCCCCGAAAACCUAAGGUUUCCCCCGGAAGGCUCGUCCGCGGGGGGUGAGUCAGGACCUAAGGCGAGGUCGAAAGACGUAGUCGAUGGACAAUAGGUUAAUAUUCCUAUACCGUUUUUUAUUGGCAACGAGGGACGAAGAAGGCUAAACUUAUCCAGAUAGUGGUCACUGGUCCAAGCAUUCAAGGUUAUGAGAAAUAGUGAAAAUAUUUUGAGCUGAGAUGUGAUGGGGAGAUACUUAGUAUUGAAGUAGUUGAUGUCAUGCUUCCAAGAAAAGCUUGCACUGUCAUAAAUAGAAAACGCCUGUACCCUAAACCGACACAGGUAGGUAGGUAGAGUAUACUAAGGGGCGCGAGAUAACUCUCUCUAAGGAACUCGGCAAAAUAACCCCGUAACUUUGGGAGAAGGGGUACCCUAUGGGUUGCAAUAACAAGGUCCAAGCGACUGUUUAUCAAAAACACAGGUCUCCGCGAAGUCGAAAGACAAUGUAUGGGGGCUGACGCCUGCCCAGUGCCGGAAGGUUAAAGAAGCUGGUUAGCAGUAGCGAAGCUAGUGACUGAAGCCCCGGUGAACGGCGGCCGU